AGUGAACGCUGGCGCUAGGCCUAACACAUGCAAGUCGAACGGCAGCACAGUAAGAGCUUGCUCUUACGGGUGGCGAGUGGCGGACGGGUGAGGAAUACAUCGGAAUCUACUUUUUCGUGGGGGAUAACGUAGGGAAACUUACGCUAAUACCGCAUACGACCUACGGGUGAAAGCAGGGGAUCUUCGGACCUUGCGCGAUUGAAUGAGCCGAUGUCGGAUUAGCUAGUUGGCGGGGUAAAGGCCCACCAAGGCGACGAUCCGUAGCUGGUCUGAGAGGAUGAUCAGCCACACUGGAACUGAGACACGGUCCAGACUCCUACGGGAGGCAGCAGUGGGGAAUAUUGGACAAUGGGCGCAAGCCUGAUCCAGCCAUACCGCGUGGGUGAAGAAGGCCUUCGGGUUGUAAAGCCCUUUUGUUGGGAAAGAAAAGCAGCAGGUUAAUACCCCGCUGUUCCGACGGUACCCAAAGAAUAAGCACCGGCUAACUUCGUG
rnacentral:rRNA from 1 species